GAUGAAGAACGCAGCGAAAUGCGAUAACUAAUGUGAAUUGCAGAAUUCCGUGAAUCAUCGAGUCUUUGAACGCACAUUGCGCCCCCUGGUAUUCCGGGGGGCAUGCCUGUCCGAGCGUCAUUACAACCCUCAAGCCCGGCUUGUGUAAUGGGCGGCCGUCUCUCCCCCCGGGGGGAGACGCCCCCGAAACUCAGUGGGGAUGUCGCGAUACCGAAGCCUCAGCUAAUGGGUAAACCACAGCUGCAAUGGCCGCGGCCGGCGUCCGCCUUCCACGGUCCGUCCGCCUAGCGCGGGCGGCCUUCUCAAGGUUGACCUCGGAUCAGGUAGGGAUACCCGAUGAACUUAAGCAUAUCAAUAAGCGGAGGA
rnacentral:misc_RNA from 1 species